rnacentral:rRNA from 1 species
UAGGGAAUCCUCCACAAUGGACGCAAGUCUGAUGGAGCAACGCCGCGUGAGUGAAGAAGGCUUUCGGGUCGUAAAACUCUGUUAUUGAAGAAGAACGUGCGUGACAGUAACUGGUCAUGCAGUGACGGUAUUCAAUCAGAAAGUCACGGCUAACUACGUGCCAGCAGCCGCGGUAAUACGUAGGUGGCAAGCGUUGUCCGGAUUUAUUGGGCGUAAAGCGAGUGCAGGCGGUCUUUUAAGUCUGAUGUGAAAGCCUUCGGCUUAACCGAAGAAGGGCAUCGGAAACUGGGAGACUUGAGUGCAGAAGAGGAGAGUGGAACUCCAUGUGUAGCGGUGAAAUGCGUAGAUAUAUGGAAGAACACCAGUGGCGAAGGCGGCUCUCUGGUCUGUAACUGACGCUGAGGCUCGAAAGCGUGGGUAGCAAACAGGAUUAGAUACCCUGGUAGUCCACGCCGUAAACGAUGAGUACUAAGUGUUGGAGGGUUUCCGCCCUUCAGUGCUGCAGCUAACGCAUUAAGUAUUCCGCCUGGGGAGUACGACCGCAAGGUUGAAAC